rnacentral:rRNA from 1 species
ACGCUCGACACCUACGGAGGCAGCAGUGAGGAAUAUUGGUCAAUGGGGCGCUAGCCUGAACCAGCCAAGUAGCGUGAAGGAUGAAGGCUCUAUGGGUCGUAAACUUCUUUUAUAUAAGAAUAAAGUGCAGUAUGUAUACUGUUUUGUAUGUAUUAUAUGAAUAAGGAUCGGCUAACUCCGUGUCAGCAGCCGCGGUAAUCUGAGCGGGCUGGCAAGGC